rnacentral:siRNA from 1 species
UAAACUUUACUUUCUUGUGGUCU